rnacentral:rRNA from 1 species
CCUGGUUGAUCCUGCCAGUGGCAUAUGCUUGUCUCAAAGAUUAAGCCAUGCACUUGUAAGUGCACACGUCCGGUACAGUGAAACUGCGAAUGGCUCAUUAAAUCAAUUAUGGUUCCUUUGAUCGCUCCAUCUGUUACUUGUAUAACUGUGGUAAUUCUAAAGCUAAUACAUGCUACCGAGCGUGGACCUUCCAGGAUGCGUGCAUUUAUCAGACCAAGACUAAUCCGGGCUCGCCGGCCCCUUUGGUGAAGCGAGAAUAACCUUGGGCCGAUUGCACGUCUCCAUGACGCCGAAGAUGCAUUCGGAUGUGUGCCCUAUCAACUUUUCGGUGGUACUUUCUGUGCCUACCAUGGUGAGCACGUUUAAUGGGGAAUCAGUGUUGGAUUCCGGAGAGGGAGCCUGAGAAAUGGUUACCACACCCAAGGAAGGUAGCAGGCAUGCAAAUUACCCACUCCCGACUCCGGGAGGUAGUGACCAAAAAUAACAAUAUAGGACUCUUUCGAGGCACUGUAAUUGGAAUGAGCACAUUUUAAAUCCUUUAACAAGUACCAUUGGAGGGCAAGUCUGAUGUCAGCAGCCACGGUAAUUCCUUUAACGAGUACCCAUUGGAGGGCAAGUCUGAUGCCAGCAGCCACGGUAAUUCCAUCUUCAAUAGUGUAUAUUAAAGUUGCUGCAGUUAAAAUGCUUGUAGUUGGAUCUUGAGAUCGAGCUGGCGGUCGCCAUGAGGAGAGCUACUGCCUGUCCCAGCCCCUACACCUUGGCGCCUCCUUGCAGCUCUUGCCUGAGUGUCCUGGAGCUCCGAAGCGUUUACUUUGAAAAAAUGUGAGUGUUCAAAGCAGGCCGGUCGCCUGAAUACUUCAGCUAGGAAUAAUAGAAUAGGACUCUGGUUCUAUUUUGUUGGUUUUUGGAACUGGGGCCAUGAGACGGCGAGGGGCACUCGUAUUGUGCUGCCACAGGUGACUUUCUUGGACCGGCGCAAGACGAACCAAAGUGAAAGCAUUAGCCAAGAAUAUUUUCAUUAAUCAAGAACAAAAGUCUGAGGUUCGAAGAUGAUCGUGAUACCGCUGUAGCUCCGACAUAAACUAUGCAGACGAGCGAUCUGGCAGUGUUUUUCCCAUGACCCGCUGAGUAGCUUUUACAAAACCAAAGUCUUUGGGUUCCGGAGAUUAUGGUUGCAAAGCUGAAACUUAAAGGAAUUGACGGAAGGGCACCACCAUGAAUCUCACCCGGCCCGGACACGGAAAGGAUUGACAGAUUGAUAGUUCUUUCUCGAUUCUGUGGGUGGUGGUGCAUGGCCGUUCUUAGUUGGUGGAGCGAUUUGUCUGGUUAAUUCCGAUAACGAACGAGGCGCCUCCAUGCUAACGAGUUAUGCGACCCCCACCCCAGCAGUCAGCGAUCAACUUCUUAGAGGGACUGGUGGCGUUUAGUCACACGAGAUUGGUCAAUAACAGGUCUGUGAUGCCCUUAGAUGUCCGGGCUGCAAGCGUGCUACACUGAACCAAUCAUCGUUUGUCUACCCUUCGCAGACAGGUGCAGCUAACCCGCUGAUACGGAUCGGGGAUUGCAAUUAUUUCCCAUGAACAAGGAAUUUCCAGUAAGUGCGGGUCAUAAGCUUGCAUUGAUUAAGUCCCUGCUCUUUGUACACACUGCCCGUUGGAUGGUUUAGUGAGGUACUUGGAUCGGCCCCCACCGGGGGUCAGCAACAGCCCUGGCGGAGCGGCGAGAAAACUAUCAAACUUGAAAAUCUAGAAGAAGUAAAAGUCGUACGGGUUGGCUUAGCCUGCUGGGGACA